GCAUCACCUCUCUUAUAGUCUGAGAGCCAGCCUAAAAGAUCUUCCACUUCCGUGAGUCACAAAUUAUUUCCCAGCCCAGCCAUGUGUUCCCACUCUCAAACCAAUUUUUCAGCAAUCAGGUGCAGGUGGCACGGGUCAGCCUCUUGGUUCCAUUGGUCAGCCCUGCCCAGCCCAGAGCUGUGGCCAGGCUGAUUUGCUCGGAGUGCAGAGAUCUGCCUCAGAUGGCAUCUUGUAGAAGAGGAUUGGACAGACAAGAGAAGACUCCAGUGUGGGAUUGGAAAGAAAUCUUUUCCACCUCUGGAGAAGUUUUCCAGCGGGAAGAAUAGUGCCAUCAUUUUCCUCUGUACUGAAUACCAGAUUCGGCUAAGCGCUGUGCAAAACCAGCCCCCCAGGGCUGCCAGGCUGGUGCAAAAACAGAUCUUUCUCAACUUUGGGAUAACUCAUUCACAUUCCUGGUUUUCACAAUCAUUGCAAAACAGACCUCAGGAUUCUAGCAGCCAAGAUGCCGGGUAUAAUGAGCCUGGUCAGAGCUGCCUGGAAUUGCUAACGACUGCGGGUUUUUGUUUUUAAACCUAUGCCCUGGUUAGGGAAGGGAAACUUGUUGUGCAGGGUGCAGCAUCCCAAGCACAAAACGUGAUAAGAGGAAGAGUUAUGACUGCAGCCACCGCAGCGCGACUCCACUUUGGGGCUCUGCCAGAGUUCCCAUAAAACCCGCCUUUUUCUGGAGUCUACACCAUGCGCUCUUAUGUCAUCAAUUUAAGAGGCUUUUAUGAGAUGCCAGAGCAUGUUACUUAAAGCAUUCUCAUUUAUUUUGCCCUUAUGCUUUUAUUACAUAGAAUUUGAAUUAAAUCCAUUUGGCAAUGUUUUGCGGUGGAGGGAGGCAGGGGUCUGUCAGGAGGAGGAAAGGAAUUUGUUAGUGAGGGGAAAGCUCCUUUAGACCCCAGGGAGGGAACAGAAGUAAAUGUGCCCCGGGGUGGGAAGCGCGCCCUCCCCACAACUCGGUGAGAUGUGGAAAGUUCCUCACGCUUCACUAGGGCUUCCCUCCCUCCUACAAUCUGUGGUAGUUUUUCUAAAGGCUACUUCUGCCCUCCAUUGUUCUGUUCAAAACCCUCCAGCAACAUCACAUUGCUCUCAGAAUAAAACUCAGAUUCCACAUUUGAUAUUUUUCAUCACCUAAGAUCUGGCCUCAGUCUGCAUCUACACUUUAGAUUCUUUCCUUUUCUUCUCACUCUCCAGCUAAACACCAACUGCUACCUGUCGGUCAAGGGGGCAAGGGCCAGACAAAAUAUCACCUUGGCCUCAACAUUUCACAUUAUCCUUCCAGAAGGAAGUGGUUGGUUUCUUCUCUGAAUGCCUAUGGUGUUUUAUUGGUACAUCUUGAUGACAAUGAUCACUUUUUAUCUUGAUUUCUACAGUGCAUGCUUUUUUUCAAAAUUUUAAGUCUAGAACAACAGCUUCAUGAAUGUUCUAUCUUUGGAUCACUCUCAGCACGUAGCACAAUGAGUUGAACGUCAACCGCAUCCAAUGAAUAUCUGUUGAAUGGUUAUGUAUAUGCUGACCCCAGGAGGAAAUUUCUGAAUUAAGAAGCAUUUGUCACUUACCUAUGAGUAGGUCUUAAGUGUUUCUUUUAGAGGCUCCUCCCAGAAUCAUAUACCUCCCCCACCACCCUAAGAAAACAGGCCUGGUAACCACACAAAUCAGCCCCAUGGUUCCAUCGGUCGGCCCCACUCCAAGCUAGAGCCGCGGCCAGGCUGAUUCGCUCUGAUGUCAGAGAUCUGCAAUCAGAUGGCAUCUUGUAGAAGAUUACUAAAUACCAGGAUUGGGUUCAGCUGGUCACAAUAAAGAGGCUCCUACUCAGCCAGCACUAUUAAAACAGAGUCCAUCCUGAGAUCUUCAUGGAGCUAUAAUCAGGCCAAGCCCCUCGGGGACACCCCUGGAUCUGGGGACCUUCAUUCUGGCCCUUCACCUUGGUCAGACAUGGCCACACACCUCUCAUCUGCUUCUUUAUGUUGGGCCAUGGGCAGGCCCUUCCAUCCAGGCAAGUUCUCCCCAUGUCCAACUCGACUGCAGGACCAUUCAGCUGGGGAUCUUGCAACUAGCAGAGGGGGCUUCAGAAGCAGAAAGCAGUUAAGUAACUUGCCCAAAGUCAUGGCCCUAGCAAGAGGAUGCCACCCAGCCUCAAUGAUCACCGCUGCCCAACUACAGUUUCCACCUGAGCUCCAGCCCUCAGCCGACACCUGCCGUGGGGUUUCUCCUCUCCUCACAGCCGGGCGGGCAGGCAGCACCUCCUUUCCCAGCUCUGCUGAUGGAGGAAGACCAAAGUGGGGAGCCAGAACCUUGGAAGUCGGGUCACAGUCCUGUGUGCAGAGCCACAGCUUGGCUGAGAGGCGUUCAAUGUUUGUGUCUUUUAGACAGCUGAGAGUUUUUUAAACAAAAAUUUGAACAGUAAUUUCCAUCCCUGAUAAAGAAUUAAAUUAUAUCAAAUGCGCAUUGUUUCUAUUCUUCUGAUAAAAAGAUCCAUAGGGGUUUUGCCCCUUGCUUUUCAAGUUGAGGCUAAUUCCAUUUCAUACGUAAUCUCCUCAAAGAGAGGAAGCCUCAGCCAAUGAAAUUGGGGGCUUCCCCUGCCUCCACUCCUGCCUGGAAAGCACGUGGACUCAUCAGCCCAUGGCAGUGGGUGUGCUUUGCACUUUUCCUGUAGUGAGGGAGGAGAAGCAGAGGCCUCCCACCCCAGACCUUCGACUAAUUCGUUAUCCAACAGAUGGGGAACACCCGCUCUGUGCCAGGCGGUAUGCUGGGCACAGGGGCUAGAAAAGAGAUGCUAUUAUGGUUCUAGGAAAGAAAAAUCAUACUCCUGUUCCAUCCUCUGAGUUCAAAACCAAUAGAGAGAUGCAUUCAAGAGUCUGACAGAUGGAGAUUAAAAUAUCAGCCUUGUUAUUGGUAAAAGCUGGAUUGGAGACAGGGCUUAGAUACGCAGCCUCCUGUUGUUUCCCACACUCACCCAACCCAUUACUGCAGAGCCGAACGACCGCAGCCUCCCCCACAGGGCAAAGCAUGCCCAGGACGCUCACUGCCAGGCUGAGAGCUGAUAACCGAGCUCCUCCACAGGAGUGACACCUGAAAAAGAAAGGAAGGAUGGAGACCAACGUACCAGCACCAGGCUCUCUCCAAGCUCACCAAUUCAACUCACCAUUUACUCCUCUGCAAGGAAGGAAUGAGUGAGGAUGAAAGGAGGGCCAGGAAUGUUGUUCCGGCUGAAGCCCUUCCACCUGGAAGCACGACGCCAGGGAACCGGAGAUGCCCCCCACAAACGUGCUCCUCCCCUCAUGGAGAAGAUGGCCCAGUGGGGAGACUGGAAAAGAAUUAUCAAAUGAUACGAUAAUUGCUUUACAGAGUGGGUGGUCCCUGGGCCAAGGCCAGAAGGAUGAGCAGCCCUUGCCAGCUGGACAAGUUGCAGAAGGACCAGAAUGUGCCAAGGCUCAGAGCCUGAUAUAAAGAGGGUGGGUGCAAGACAAGGGUGGAUGUGCAGGAAGUGACAAAGGUAGACUUUGUCCUCUGGCUCUCGAAGGAGCAGCUCCCUCUACCACCAUCUGUUUACUGUCAAGGAAUAAGGGAUCGAGCGCAGGACUCAGCAGGCAGAGGCUCCCCAGGGCAAAGACUGGCUUCCUUGGUGCCUGGUUCACAUGGGCGCUCAGCACAUAUUCGUUCUUUGAGCACACACCCAUCCCUCUGGCCGCUGUCCACCCCGCGUGGAGCAGGCCACUUUUCCUUCGUGCCUGUUUCUUUUAACUGCAGAGACCCCAGUCCGAGUCACCUUCUCACUUCCCUGAGCCUCUGUUGUGAACAUUCCCGGAGUGAUGUUUGCACAAGCCUGAUGUUCUCAGAAGCAUGGCUCUCUGUAAAUACAGAGUUUUAUUAUUAGAAGACGAUGAAUUUUUAAAAUGCCAGUUCUGGCCUUUUCAUCAUGACGGAGUGGAACUCAGGUCUGCCUACACUUUGCUCCUUCAUCAGAAACCUUGCGGGUCUCAGCUCGGUGCUGAGGACAUGACUUUGGGCAGCGGUCAAGGUCACAGCCACCCAGAGGAGCCAGGGAGAUCCUGUGAAUGAUGGAGGCUGCCCAGCUCAAGCAUGGCCACCCAACUCUUGGGAAUGUUCAGGAAUUCAGGUCCAGCAUGGCUUGUCAAGAGAAGGCAGAAAUCUGUAUUUUAUGUAAAAUCUCCUGAAUUUUAAACAUUUGCCUCAAAAUCCAAAAUUAAAAAAGAAUGGUAUGAAGGCCUAACAUGACACAGCUGUGGGCUGAAUGUGCUCCCCUCCUGCCGCCCACUGCCCUCUGGCUUCUGAUCGGUGGCAGCUCUGCCCCUAGUGGCAGGUUUCCAUAGCUGGCCCCUAUUGCUGAAAGGUGAGCUCAGGUCUCGAGGAAGUGACCUGGGUCACCCAGGGGAGGGCAAUGUCUGUGCUGUGCAUAAUAUUUUAAACUAUGGUUCUUAACAUUUUCAGCUUUACACUAAUUUUUCCUUUAAUGUUUCCAGUCGGAGGGCUUGCCCUGGUUGAGGUUGAUGUCCUCUGCACUGAUUCUUACCCAGAUGGGGAGACUGUGGGAUGAGGCACACAGAGCAGAGCCUGUGCCGUCACACAGGUCUUGGUUCAAAUCUUGGUUCUACCCUUUAUAGGCUGUGUGAUUUGGGCAAGUUGCUUAACCUUUCUGGACCUCUUCUGCAAAAGAGGGAUGGUCCUAAUCCCUAUUUCAAAGGACACCUGCGAGAGAGACUUCAGGGAAAGCAUCGAGGACCCUCUCUGGCAGAGUGAAACCCCAGAUACAGGGUUCCCUUCCCCUCAGUGCCUCCACUCCCAACGUAGAGUCCCAGGGGAUGUGGAAAGCCAGGUGGGCACUUCCGGGGAGAGAAAAAUAAGGAGACCAGAAUCAGCUAGCAUUUUGGAUGCAUCCUUAAUUCUCAGCAAGUUGUUGAUCUAACUGGGAAACAACUUGCCACGUGCUUAACUGGCCUCCUUUAGUAAUGGGAUCAAAUACGCUUUCAGGAUGAAGUCUGGGGCAUGGAGUCCUCUUCAGCUCUCGGCGGUUGCCCUCGGGCCCUGCAUGGGUAUAGAGUGAUUCAUUCUCUCGGGUGGAGAUCAUCUCCCUGCCUCCUCCUGGGCUGGCGCCAGAGAUGGUGGUGUGACUCCCUCCCAUGGUUUAUCAUUCCAUCUCAUUUCUCAGUUAUCUGUGGAUGGGUCUCUCCCCCAUGAGAUUGGAAGCCAGUGGCGGGGAGGGUUGGACGGCGGGCAGAGUCUCUGUCACAUUCAUCCUCGCGUCUCCUUCUUCCUCCAUCAACCUGGUGGCUGCCAAGUAGUGCUAAAAAAAACCCCAAACAAAACAAAACAAAACAAACUCUGCUAAUUAAGGACUAGGCCAAGAAGCAUUCCGACUGCAGUGCCUACAUUCUCUGCUAAUCCCAUUGUAGCUUUGGUCUAUUGAUAGUUUUCAUAUCCUUUUCCACUUUACAGCUUUCAAUGGUAUCAACUAACGCUCCACCACAGAAUUGUCGUCUGUCUCCCUCAUUACGUUAGAGAGUCUUUGGGUGACCGUACGACUUUGAACAU
rnacentral:lncRNA from 1 species